rnacentral:rRNA from 1 species
CAUAUCAAUAAGCGGAGGAAAAGAAACUAACAAAGGAUUCCCCUAGUAACUGCGAGUGAAGCGGGAAAAGCUCAAAUUUAAAAUCUGUCAGUCUUUGGCUGUCCGAGUUGUAAUCUAGAGAAGUGUUAUCCGCGCUGGACCGUGUACAAGUCUCCUGGAAUGGAGCGUCAUAGAGGGUGAGAAUCCCGUCUCUGACACGGACUACCAGGGCUUUGUGAUGCGCUCUCAAAGAGUCGAGUUGUUUGGGAAUGCAGCUCAAAAUGGGUGGUAAAUUCCAUCUAAAGCUAAAUAUUGGCGAGAGACCGAUAGCGAACAAGUACCGUGAGGGAAAGAUGAAAAGAACUUUGGAAAGAGAGUUAAACAGUACGUGAAAUUGCUGAAAGGGAAACGCUUGAAGUCAGUCGCGUUGUCCAGGGAUCAACCUUGCUUUUGCUUGGUGUACUUUCUGGUUAACGGGUCAGCAUCAAUUUUGAUCAUUGGAAAAAGGUUAGGGGAAUGUGGCAUCUUCGGAUGUGUUAUAGCCCUUGAUUGCAUACAAUGGUUGGGAUUGAGGAACUCAGCACGCCGCAAGGCCGGGUUUUAACCACGUACGUGCUUAGGAUGCUGGCAUAAUGGCUUUAAUCGACCCGUCUUGAAACACGGACCAAGGAGUCUAACAUGCCUGCGAGUGUUUGGGUGGAAAACCCGAGCGCGUAAUGAAAGUGAAAGUUGAGAUCCCUGUCGUGGGGAGCAUCGACGCCCGGACCAGACCUUUUGUGACGGUUCCGCGGUAGAGCAUGUAUGUUGGGACCCGAAAGAUGGUGAACUAUGCCUGAAUAGGGUGAAGCCAGAGGAAACUCUGGUGGAGGCUCGUAGCGAUUCUGACGUGCAAAUCGAUCGUCAAAUUUGGGUAUAGGGGCGAAAGACCUAAUCGAACCAUCUAGUAGCUGGGUUCCUGCC